GACGAACCGUGCGAACGUUGUUCGGAAUCACUGGGCUUAAAGGGCGCGUAGGCGGGCAACCAAGUCCGAGGUGAAAUCCUGCAGCUCAACUGCAGAAGUGCCCCGGAUACUGGCUGCCUCGAGGGAGGUAGGGGCAUGUGGAACUUCCGGUGGAGCGGUGAAAUGCGUAGAUAUCGUAAGGAAGACCAGUGGCGAAGGCGGGUCUCUGGGCCGAUACUGACGCUGAGGAGCGAAAGCGUGGGGAGCGAACAGG
rnacentral:rRNA from 1 species